AAUCAACGCUGGCGGCGUGCCUAACACAUGCAAGUCGAGCGGGAAAGGGGCUUCGGUCCCUGAGUAUAGCGGCGGACGGGUGAGUAACACGUGGGUAAUUUGCCCUUGGGUGUGGAAUAACUCAGGGAAACUUGAGCUAGUACCGCAUGACAUCCCCUUCACACACGAGUUGGGGAUCAAAGCCGGGGACCCUUCGGGGCCUGGCGCCUGAGGAGAAGCCCGCGCCCGAUUAGCUAGUUGGGA
rnacentral:rRNA from 1 species